AAGCCAUCACGCAAGAUGAUCAGUGUCAAGUCAGCCCCCACUGAACGUGGACGUGUGCAUCACGUCUCAGCUAAAGACGCUCAUGAUGAUCCAGAUGUCGUUCUUGGUACCCUUCUUGUCAAUUGUCACCCAGCAUCAGUUCUAUUCGAUACUGGAGCAUCUCACUCCUUCAUUUCUGAAGGUUAUGCUCGUUUGCACGACAUGUCAUUUUGUGAUAUGCCAACUCCGCUUGAAAUCCAAACCCCAGGGUCUAGAUGGCAGACCACCAGAAUCAGCCAUGGUAACGAAAUCCUUGUUGACAGACUUGUAUUCCUUGCAUCACUUGUAGCCCUCAAGUCUUCAGAUAUUAACAUCAUCUUGGGUAUGGACUGGAUGACAGCUCAUCAUGCCAAGAUUGAUUGUUACACAAGAUCUGUUCAGCUUACACACCCAUCUGGCAAGAUAGUCACCGUCUCCACUAGAGUUGCAAAGCAUCAACUCUAUUCUCUUAAUGCCAGCCCUCUUCCAGACCUUGAAGAUAUCCCGGUAGUCCGUGACUUUCCGGAUGUCUUUCCAGAGGAACUGCCAGGUGUUCCACCUGACAGAGAAGUAGAGUUUGUCAUAGAUCUUAUCCCAGGAACAGCUCCAAUCUCCCGGAGACCUUACAAGAUGGCACCCUUAGAACUAGCCGAGCUUAAGAAACAACUCGAUGAGUCCUUGCAAAAGGGUUUCAUCCGUCCUAGUUCUUCUCCUUGGGCUUGCCCCGUCCUCUUCGUCAAGAAGAAGGAUGGUACGGACCGGAUGGUUGUAGAUUAUCGUCCCGUUAAUUUGGUCACGAUAAAGAACAAGUAUCCGCUUCCCAGGAUCAACGACCUGUAUGAUCAGCUCGCUGGAUCCUCAGUCUUCUCCAAGAUGGAUUUAAGGUUAGGCUACCAUCAAAUCAAGAUCAGAAACGGGGACAUUCCCAAGACAGCUUUUGUCACUCGUUAUGGCCAGUACGAGUACACCGUC
rnacentral:rRNA from 1 species